rnacentral:rRNA from 1 species
UAAGGGGGGUUAAGCAGCUGAGCGGACAGAUGGAGCUUCUCCUAUGCGGCGGACGGGKAGUCACGUGGGACCUGCCUGAGACUGGGAUAACUCCGGGAAACCGGGGCUAAUACCGGAUGCUUGUUUGAACCGCAUGGUUCAAACAUAAAAGGUGGCUUCGGCUACCACUUACAGAUGGACCCGCGGCGCAUUAGCUAGUUGGUGAGGUAAUGGCUCACCAAGGCAACGAUGCGUAGCCGACCUGAGAGGGUGAUCGGCCACACUGGGACUGAGACACGGCCCAGACUCCUACGGGAGGCAGCAGUAGGGAAUCUUCCGCAAUGGACGAAAGUCUGACGGAGCAACGCCGCGUGAGUGAUGAAGGUUUUCGGAUCGUAAAGCUCUGUUGUUAGGGAAGAACAAGUACCGUUCGAAUAGGGCGGUACCUUGACGGUACCUAACCAGAAAGCCACGGCUAACUACGUGCCAGCCGCCGCGGUAAUACAA